AUUUACCAGAAAGGCAAAGGUAAUAAUUGGAGGUAUACCAAUCUCCUAGAACUGGAAGGGACCUUGAAAAGUCAUUGAGUCCAGCCCCCUGCCUUUGCUGGCAGGACCAA